rnacentral:rRNA from 1 species
AGUGAACGCUGGCGGUAGGCCUAACACAUGCAAGUCGAACGGCAGCACAGGAGAGCUUGCUCUCUGGGUGGCGAGUGGCGGACGGGUGAGGAAUACAUCGGAGUCUACUCUGUCGUGAGGGAUAACGAAGGGAAACUUACGCUAAUACCGCAUACGACCUACGGGUGAAAGCAGGGGACCUUCGGGCCUUGCGCGAUUGAAUGAGCCGAUGUCGGAUUAGCUAGUUGGCGGGGUAAAGGCCCACCAAGGCGACGAUCCGUAGCUGGUCUGAGAGGAUGAUCAGCCACACUGGAACUGAGACACGGUCCAGACUCCUACGGGAGGCAGCAGUGGGGAAUAUUGGACAAUGGGCGCAAGCCUGAUCCAGCCAUACCGCGUGGGUGAAGAAGGCCCUCGGGUUGUAAAGCCCUUUUGUUGGGAAAGAAAGCCAGCUGGCUAAUACCCGGUUGGGAUGACGGUACCCAAAGAAUAAGCACCGGCUAACUUCGUGCCAGCCGCCGCGGUAA